rnacentral:rRNA from 1 species
GAUGAACGCUGGCGGCGUGCCUAAUACAUGCAAGUCGAGCGAACAGACGAGGAGCUUGCUCCUCUGACGUUAGCGGCGGACGGGUGAGUAACGCGUGGAUAACCUACCUAUAAGACUAGGAUAACUUCGGGAAACCGGAGCUAAUACCGGAUAAUAUAUUGAACCGCAUGGUUCAAUAGUGAAAGACGGUUUUGCUGUCACUUAUAGAUGGAUCCGCGCCGCAUUAGCUAGUUGGUAAGGUAACGGCUUACCAAGGCGACGAUGCGUAGCCGACCUGAGAGGGUGAUCGGCCACACUGGAACUGAGACACGGUCCAGACUCCUACGGGAGGCAGCAGUAGGGAAUCUUCCGCAAUGGGCGAAAGCCUGACGGAGCAACGCCGCGUGAGUGAUGAAGGUCUUCGGAUCGUAAAACUCUGUUAUUAGGGAAGAACAAAUGUGUAAGUAACUAUGCACGUCUUGACGGUACCUAAUCAGAAAGCCACGGCUAACUACGUG